GGCUAUGAUUGUGGGUGUGCAAAGGAUUCGACCGUUGUGAUGGGGUAAAAUUUUGAAUGUGCUUUUCGAACUAUUAAGUUUACCGAGGAGCUGAGAUGGCGAACUGGUUCCACGUGUGAGCUGGAUAGAGGGUAUAGAGCGUGAGUAUCAAGACGCGUGGGUGACUUUUGGCUGCGUAACUAAAACGUGACGCCGUUAUCUGUCGGCUCGGCUUUAAACAACUUUUCGGUUUUUGCACUAUUUUUAUUUGGGAAAUUGAUAAGAGCCAUGGAGACAUGAAGUAGGGUACGUAAGAAGCAGGUGGACCGUUUGCCACAAAUUUUGGAGAUCAUUGCUGCUCAAUAGCCUAACAAAUUUAGAUUGGAGGUGAGUAAUCUGUCAAUUCAGUUCCUUUCAGAUUCAAUAUUUUUAAAAUCCAAUCAACCUGUUGCAUUUAAUG